AGAGUUUGAUCAUGGCUCAGAUUGAACGCUGGCGGCAGGCUUAACACAUGCAAGUCGAGCGGGGGAAGGUAGCUUGCUACCGGACCUAGCGGCGGACGGGUGAGUAAUGCUUAGGAAUCUGCCUAUUAGUGGGGGACAACAUCUCGAAAGGGAUGCUAAUACCGCAUACGUCCUACGGGAGAAAGCAGGGGAUCUUCGGACCUUGCGCUAAUAGAUGAGCCUAAGUCGGAUUAGCUAGCUGGUGGGGUAAAGGCCUACCAAGGCGACGAUCUGUAGCGGGUCUGAGAGGAUGAUCCGCCACACUGGGACUGAGACACGGCCCAGACUCCUACGGGAGGCAGCAGUGGGGAAUAUUGGACAAUGGGCGCAAGCCUGAUCCAGCCAUGGCCGCGUGUGUGAAGAAGGCCUUAUGGUUGUAAAGCACUUUAAGCGAGGAGGAGGCUACUUUAGAUAAUACCUAGAGAUAGUGGACGUUACUCGCAGAAUAAGCACCGGCUAACUCUGUGCCUGCAGCCGCGGUAAUACAGAGGGUGCAAGCGUUAAUCGGAUUUACUGGGCGUAAAGCGCGCGUAGGCGGCUAAUUAAGUCAAAUGUGAAAUCCCCGAGCUUAACUUGGGAAUUGCAUUCGAUACUGGUUAGCUAGAGUGUGGGAGAGGAUGGUAGAAUUCCAGGUGUAGCGGUGAAAUGCGUAGAGAUCUGGAGGAAUACCGAUGGCGAAGGCAGCCAUCUGGCCUAACACUGACGCUGAGGUGCGAAAGC
rnacentral:rRNA from 1 species